UACAAGUGAACUCUUUUGGAUGCAAUGAAAGACUACAAUUCAAUUGAGCAAUUAGACAAAUAAGAAAUAGGAGAAAAAAACAGCAGCAGAGAGAAUUGGACAAACCUCGAUGCAAACGAUGAUGACGACGACGACGGUGGUAAGGAAUGAGGAGAAGGCAAUUAGCAGCGAUGUCGUUGAGAGGGGAAGAAGAAGGUGAAGAUGAAGAAGUAGAGCAUACAAAGGGGGAGAAAUCGGUGUGAGGUUUGGAGCCACGGCUUCUGGGUUGCUGGCAACACUUGGGUAGGGAGAGAUCAAUUUCUGAUUCUGAAAAAUUGUUCCAAGUGAGAUUUGUCAGUAGGCCCUGCAAUCAAAGAGGGAGAGACGUGAAGUUGUAGAACUUGAGUGAGUUUAACUGAGUUUUCUGUAAAAAGCUUGGAUUUGUUGUUCGACUGUAGAUCAGUGAUGAUGGGAAUCUUUGAAGAAAUGGGAUUUUGCGCAAAUCCUGAUUUCAUGUCUGCUCCAUCAAGAGAGGGAGAUCUGGCCACUGAAGGUGAACCAGAGGCCACUGUUGAAGAGGAUUAUAGUGAUGAAGAGAUGGAUGUUGAUGAGCUAGAGAAGAGGAUGAGUAGGAUGAGGAGGGAUCGGAGGCUCCUGAGACGGCUCAAAGAAUAGAACAAGGGGAAGGAGGGAGUUGAUAUUGCAAAGCAAAUGCAGUCGCAGGAACGGGCUCGAAGAAAGAAAUGUCGCGAGCACAAGAUGGGAUUCUGAAGUAAUCCAGACCUGAGAUAUCACCGGCGGAGCAUAAAGCAGAGAGAAGAAAUCGUGUAGCGCAUGUAUAGAUGUCUCCCUCUUCCCUCGGAUAUCAUCACCAUUGAAUUCAAAAUUACCAUGUAUCUAUCACCUAAGCUAAGCUGUGCUACAAAUCAUGUAGCACAAAAGUGUACUACAGACCAGCCGGAUCCGAGUGAAUGAAGGGUAAACAAUUCUUGUGGAGAGUUUUUGGGUGA